CGACGGGUGGUGAGUCCGUUCGCGGAAGAAAAGUGAAAAUUAGUGACAUGCAAUCACCAACUUCUCUCACACAAUUCCGUGGAGAAGUGUUGACCAAUUGCUACGUUCAAAUGCAUGAUACGUCACCGGUGAUGCAAAUAGUAGACACACAAGUAAUCAACACAUUGAACCACGGAAGAACAGAGAGACGGAAGACAACAAUGGCAGCUCAAGGAGACCUGAAGUUGCUAGGCUUGUCGGUGAGCCCAUUCGUAGUUCGUGUUCGCAUGGCGCUCCACAUGAAGGGCUUGAGCUACGAGUAUAUCAAACGGGACCUCUUCAACAAGAGUGAGCUCCUCCUCAAGUCCAACCCGGUGGAGAAGAAGGUGCCCAUACUCAUCCACGAUGGCAAGACCGUACUCGAUUCUUCGGUCAUCGUGCAGUACAUCGACGAAGUCUGGGCCGCCAUGGGGCCGUCGAUCCUCCCUGUCGACCCCUACGAGCGCGCCACCGCCCCCUUCUGGGCCGCCUACGUCGACGACAAACUAUUCUCCGCUUAUGUCGGUGUUAAUAAAGCAGUGACGGAGGUGGAGAGGAUGGAGAAGGUUAGCGAGACGCUUGCGGUGCUAGAGCAACUUGAGGAGGCAUUUGCCAAGCAUUCCAACGGAAAGGGCUUCUUCGCCGGGGACUCCAUCGGGUACCUUGACCUCGCAGUAGGAUGCCACUUGCACUGGCUCAAGGCGCAGUGUAAGAUGUUCGGCGUGGUGUUCCUCGACGCCGGCAAGACUCCGCUCUUAGCGACCUGGGCGAAACGGUUCACUGAGACCGAUGCGGCGAAGGAGGUGGUACCUGACACAGACGUGGUGAUGGAGUAUGCUAAGAAGCGCCAGGCUUAUCGUGUUGCUGUUGCUGCGGCGGCAGCGAGUGCCAAGUGAAACGCUUCAGACCAAUGCGACCGAGUAUCGACUACCCAAGCAUAGCGAAAUCAAGCUGAUCACUUAUGUACGUAUAUAUGUAUUUGGGAGUUUAGUUUCCAUCAAGUCUCCGCACGCACUGAACACUUGCUCUAAACAACAAUGCUUUGUGAGGGUAUAAGAGUGUAUCAUAUGUUAAAUAACUUAUGUUGGAGGGAGCCUCCUAGCGCAAUGACAAGUGAGUUAUGUUUUCAUUCAUGUCAUCUAGGUUCAAAUCUGUCCACCUACCUAGUAACUGAAGUUAAAUGGUUCAAAUCAUGCCAUCUAGAUUUUCAAGACUAUGUUUUGCCUCCUGAGAACCGAUGUGCUAUUAUGCUUUUGGUGCCCAG
rnacentral:rRNA from 1 species